rnacentral:rRNA from 3 species
AAAUUGAAGAGUUUGAUCAUGGCUCAGAUUGAACGCUGGCGGCAGGCCUAACACAUGCAAGUCGAGCGGAAACGAGUUAUCUGAACCUUCGGGGAACGAUAACGGCGUCGAGCGGCGGACGGGUGAGUAAUGCCUAGGAAAUUGCCCUGAUGUGGGGGAUAACCAUUGGAAACGAUGGCUAAUACCGCAUGAUGCCUACGGGCCAAAGAGGGGGACCUUCGGGCCUCUC